AGUGCAGGCAUAUAGCUCUGCUUGUUAUCACAGCCAUGUAGCCAUAACAUGCGAAGGCCAUGCCUUGGCCCUAUGCCACUAUUGUCUGUAAAAGGUAUAAUUGGCCUGCUGACUCCGUACAGGCGCACUUGCACCCACAGAGAGAGAGAGCCAGAGCUGUCCGACUUUGCAGAUGGAUGGGGGAACCAGGACACAGCUCAGCCUACUCAUACCCAGAGAGAGAAGGAGUUCAGCUGCUGACCCUGAAGGCAAGGGAGAGCUGGCCACACAGGUGUGUGUGGGAGCUGGCUGCUGAGAGGAACCGCUGAGCCGGAGCAGGCAGCCAAAAUAAAGGUGAACAGUGUAAAAGAGCUAGUGUAAGCUGCUGAUGAGAGAGCUCCUGAAUAAAAUUACAUUUCACCUGCCUUCAGCCCCCCGAAUGUUCUUUCAGCUAUCUGCUCAUCCACCCACUCCUUUCGGACCUCAGCUGGGGCUGGACUGCAAUCCUGAGCGUAACAACAAGCGAUACUUUUGUUAGGUCCACUUUCACUUCCUUCAUCAGAAACGUCCUGAACUCUCCCUGGGCACUGUCCUGUGGCUGGUAAGAGGCAGAGGGCAGGAGCUGUGUCAGUCUUGUUCCUUGUUGUAACCCAGUGCCUGGCACAUGCACGGUCCCCUCCAAUUGCUUGCCUCAGAAUCACUGGCUGUACUUAUACAAAAGCGGAUUCCUGAACUGCCUCCCAGACAGACUGAGUUCGAAUCUCUGUGGCUAGGACCUAGAUAUAUGCAUUUUAAAUAAGAUCCCAGAUGAUACUGAUGUAUCAUCAACUAAGAAUUACUGGCCUAAAGGUACUUCCAACACAGCCCACCAUGCCAGUACAAAGCAGGUGUGCACACUUUUGGAAGGAUCCCCAUUUUCUCCUGGGGAACUGGCCUUGGGAUAUGACCAAUAGUGCCCCAUAGCUCUCAGAACAUCCCUGUCCCCAUGGGCCCUCGCGGGCAGGCUGAGCACAGCAGUGUGGCACUCAGCGGCUGGCCUGGGAUUCGGUGGAAAUAGGUUUGCUGCUUCUCAGCCAAGUGGCCUGAAGCAAACGAUUUAAGCUGUCUCGAUUUCCUCAUCUGGAUAAUAGGGACACAAAUAGAACCAAUAAAAAGUGUUGAGAAGACUGAAUGCCGGCAUGUGCAUGAAAUGCCUCAUCGGUGCAUAGCACAGCGUUUGAUAACUCAGAACUUUUUCAAAAAGGUAUGAUGAUGAAAACCUUAUUCUGAAGAAAGAAAACUUCACAGAAAUCGUCAUUACAAAGCCCAGCUGAAGCUCUACUGCACAUCAGACUCUCCUGGAGAGUGUUUGGAAAACAUCAGUCUAGUGGCCCCUCCCUAGUCUUAUGCCUUCCCCAUCCUUCCCUCCUACCUGUGAAACCAGAGGAAUCUCUAGUAGGGGGUGUCUGAAUUUUUUGAAAAAGAGGAAGCUUUCCUAUGGCAAGAAUCACCCAGGGGCACUUGAAGACAUGGCCUGGCCUCUCCGGAAAAUUCUGCUUUGGGUGUUGGAGAUGGGUUCUUGGAACUUGCAUUUUUAAUCAGGUGCUUCUUAACUUUUCAGCAAUUAAGGAAGCACUGGUUUAAAGUGGGUUUAACCCACUGUGGUUGAGAGAGGUUUUGGUGCCACCCUGACCAGCUGAGGCCGUCUCCCAUGUUACCCACAAUUCCUUGUGACGAUGCCACCUCUAUCCAGGAGGGAAGUGUCACUCAUGGUGUGGAGCUUGCUAGUCGUGUUUGGAGAUUGCAAAGCACAGUCUUCGUCGAUCUGUGUAUGUGUUCAUGUAAGCGUGCACACAGACUCACACUUCUGAAAACUACCUUGGUGAUGGCAGGAAAAAAGAACUGACUAAAACUGUAGAAGUUGAGGGCCAACACAGUGCUCAGAGGAACUUUAUCUCUAACACUAAAUAGAAACAAAGGAUGAGGAGGGGGUCCCAUGGACAUAUGGGGAGAACGGGUGACUCAGUUCAGAGUGGAGGCCCCUGACUGAAAGACAGCAGUCCCCACGUGGAGCUCUUGCCUUCUAGAUGGUUCAGCCUCGCAGGCUGCUUCUGUCUGAGAAUCCUGAGAGGCUCGCCCUUCCCCAUGUGCUUCAAGCCUAAGGAAGUGUUGGGAGCUGUCCUGCCACUCGUGGGGCAAGGGGAGGACUGCUUAACCAACCCUGGUGAGACGUGAGCUAGGGAGAGGCUGCUGUUCUUGCCUUUGCCCUCCCAUGUCUUUCUAAGGAUGAUUCUAAAACCUUCUUUCUGUCUCCGCCGUGGAGCUGGCUGCCAACGGGCAGCUUUGCUUACCCAGCCCGGUGCUGCUGGUGGUGCCUUAGUCUUCCAAUGUGAUCUCUGUAACAGGGACUUGAAAAUAACACUCAGCUGCGCCCUGCUCAAAUGGUCACAGUUCACAUCCUGAAGAACCAUCUAUUCUGGGCAUGUUGAAGUUUGGAGCAGAUCAGUGCUGGAUAAACAGUGUCUUCCUAGGACUAGACCAGGAACACCAAAUAUAGUAGAAAUGUAACAAGCCCUCAGAAGACGAUUUAUGAAAACAAAACAACAAAAUGUGUAAUUCUGUGAAUAU